AGAGUUUGAUCCUGGCUCAGAUUGAACGCUGGCGGCAUGCCUUACACAUGCAAGUCGAACGGCAGCGCGGGAGCAAUCCUGGCGGCGAGUGGCGAACGGGUGAGUAAUACAUCGGAACGUGCCCAAUCGUGGGGGAUAACGCAGCGAAAGCUGUGCUAAUACCGCAUACGAUCUACGGAUGAAAGCAGGGGAUCGCAAGACCUUGCGCGAAUGGAGCGGCCGAUGGCAGAUUAGGUAGUUGGUGAGGUAAAGGCUCACCAAGCCUUCGAUCUGUAGCUGGUCUGAGAGGACGACCAGCCACACUGGGACUGAGACACGGCCCAGACUCCUACGGGAGGCAGCAGUGGGGAAUUUUGGACAAUGGGCGAAGGCCUGAUCCAGCCAUGCCGCGUGCAGGAUGAAGGCCUUCGGGUUGUAAACUGCUUUUGUACGGAACGAAACGGUCUUUUCUAAUACAGAAGGCUAAUGACGGUACCGUAAGAAUAAGCACCGGCUAACUACGUGCCAGCAGCCGCGGUAAUACGUAGGGUGCAAGCGUUAAUCGGAAUUACUGGGCGUAAAGCGUGCGCAGGCGGUUAUGUAAGACAGUUGUGAAAUCCCCGGGCUCAACCUGGGAACUGCAUCUGUGACUGCAUAGCUAGAGUACGGUAGAGGGGGAUGGAAUUCCGCGUGUAGCAGUGAAAUGCGUAGAUAUGCGGAGGAACACCGAUGGCGAAGGCAAUCCCCCGGACCUGUACUGACGCUCAUGCACGAAAGCGUGGGGAGCAAACAGGAUUAGAUACCCUGGUAGUCCACGCCCUAAACGAUGUCAACUGGUUGUUGGGUCUUCACUGACUCAGUAACGAAGCUAACGCGUGAAGUUGACCGCCUGGGGAGUACGGCCGCAAGGUUGAAACUCAAAUGAAUUGACGG
rnacentral:rRNA from 1 species